rnacentral:rRNA from 1 species
AGGGGCUCAAGUUGAUGGCCCUCGGCGUAAAGAGUGGUUAAGAAAUAUAACACUAAAGCCAAACACCUUCAUAGCUGUCAUACGCACUUGAAGACAGGAAGACCUUCCACGAAAGUGGCUUUAAAAACUCUGAACCCACGAAAGCUAGGAUACAAACUGGGAUUAGAUACCCCACUAUGCCUAGCCAUAAACAAAAGUGGCAAACCCACCUCUGCCACUCGCCAGGGAACUACGAGCAUAA